rnacentral:rRNA from 1 species
GACGAACCGUACAAACGUUAUUCGGAAUCAUUGGGCUUAAAGGGUGCGUAGGCGGCGCGGAAAGUUGGGUGUGAAAUCCCUCGGCUCAACCGAGGAACUGCGCCCAAAACUGCCGUGCUUGAGGGAGACAGAGGUGAGCGGAACUAAGGGUGGAGCGGUGAAAUGCGUUGAUAUCCUUAGGAACACCGGUGGCGAAAGCGGCUCACUGGGUCUCUUCUGACGCUGAGGCACGAAAGCUAGGGGAGCAAACGGG